CACACCGCCCGUCACACCAUGGGAGUUUGUUGCACCAGAAGCAAGUAGCUUAACCGCAAGGGGGGCGCUUGCCACGGUGUGGCCGAUGACUGGGGUG
rnacentral:rRNA from 1 species